rnacentral:rRNA from 1 species
GCAAGUCGAGCGGAAACGACAUUAUUUAUUCUUCGGAUGAUUUAAUGCGCGUCGAGCGGCGGACGGGUGAGUAAUGCCUAGGAAAUUGCCUUGAUGUGGGGGAUAACCAUUGGAAACGAUGGCUAAUACCGCAUAAUGCCUACGGGCCAAAGAGGGGGAUCUUCGGACCUCUCGCGUCAAGAUAUGCCUAGGUGGGAUUAGCUAGUUGGUGAGGUAAUGGCUCACCAAGGCGACGAUCCCUAGCUGGUCUGAGAGGAUGAUC